AGGAGCCGUGCCUGCCGCUGCUGCUGUGGCUCAGAGAGCCGCUCCGGCAAACUGGAGUGUCUGCUGGCAGCGGUCAGCGCGGGGUAGUCGUGUCUCUCUCAAGUACCCGUCGCUCGCGAGCGUGGAGGCUUUUGGAAACUUUCCCAUCACAAACGCUCUUGGAUCACAGCGUUCGCUCUCAGAGUUAAGUCGAUUUGUGACUUUGCCAGGCUGCGGCGCCCACACGAGGCGGUACGAAGUCGCGUGUUGGUGGUGUGUGUACAGGUUGUUUCCUUUCGUAGCCCUGGUAGUGUGUUUUCAGUCCUCAAGCUGCGCUGCUCUGCCGCGUUUCUCCUGCUGCUGUCCCCUGGGUCAGUCACCAUGGGCAGCAGCAUACUUUUUCAGUCACUCCCAGCUUUACAACUGUUACGCUUCCCAGAUUUCAGCUGUGCAUUGUAUUCAACUGUCUUAAGACACACAGUUUAAAGGAGAUUGUUUUAUCAGCAGCUUUUCCAGGAGUGAGCUAGGAAUGGUGCUCACAAAGGUGGGUAACAGUAUUCUAAAGUGGGACUGUGCUUGAUCCGGGAUGCAUGGUUGCUGGGACAAGGUGCAUUUCCAAAUGACAUGGAUAGUUAUGACACCAGCGGCAGAUAAUGGCACAGGCAAUUGUAAACAAAGGGUUAGAUAAUGUUCGAUGAGGUGGCUCAGGUUUACCGGCAAUGGCUCAGUGCAGCUGUGAAGCCAGCGUGGCACAACAGGUCUGACUGUUGUGCCCUUGUGCAAACACUCAGGGUGGCACCGUCUUGGGCUCUCCUGUGAGUGAGCUGCCGGCUGGUGAGAGGAAGGCCCAGCCAGUUAAGGGGAUAUGCCAGCCAUCACAGGGUUUGGGAUGGAGCCACGGCUGCUACUGACUCCUCACUUCUGUUUCACUUCCGCUUGGCUUCAGCUGGUUUGUUUUGUUGCAACAGGUUUGUACAAUAUGGUAGGAAAAAGCUGUGGAAAAAGCAGGGCUCUGGCUCUCCUGUACAUUCACUUCACGCCCGUGUGUCCUGCCCAAUGUUUCACCAACUCUAAUUUGGAGUCCCAGAAGAGAACCAGAGAACUGUGUGCUGGCAAUCCUUGGAUCUUUUCCAGGCAUGUUAUCUACAAACUGUGGUUACUCUCCCACACAGAGGGAUGAGGAGUGGAUGUUCAACAAUACAUUCAGCCUGGAGUAAGGGACAUGGCCUUGGUAACUGUGGGGUGGCUUAGAAACCAGUGCUGCCACCUCUGUCGUGCUGCAGGGCUUGGUGUGCUUGUGGAUGGAUGUGCAGAACCCUAAGCUGCGGCUUGGGCAAAAGUAGAAAAGAGGAUAGAAGAUCCCAGUACUGCUGUGUCCUGUGCCAUGGCUUUGGGAAAGUGAGAGAAGGAGGCGCUUUCUCCUGGAUGAAGGUACUUGCCAGAUUCCAAUGCCCACAUUGCUGCCUCUGCAGUUUGUGGCGUGGGAAUGAAGAUGGUGAAGCUAGAUUGAGAUGCCCAUGGAUGCUGCCAUUCAUCCCCAUCAGCCUCAUUUGCUUAUAGCCUACAAAA